UUUUUUAAAAAAAUAGAAUUAUGGACAAAAUUGAAAAUAAUUCUGAAAAAGGAGGCGAAACUAUGAAUAAGGGAAGAUGUUUUUGAAAGAAAAUUUAAAAACAAGGAGUAAAAUCACAAAAAUGAAAAAUAUGGCCACGUGGGAUGGCUACGUCAGCGGCCACGGUAAAUCAGGACACACUGUGUGGUGGACACACUGGCAUCGGCUCCACACGAGAGGCAACCUGGUGAUCCGCGUGCCUAAACGAUCUGACGGUUUAGAUUGCAUCACGCAUGCACGAACAGCUCAAAUCUAUUUUUCCUUUAGAUGAAAUCGAAUAGAUGAUAUUGAUCGUGAUGGAUGGCCCUGAUUCGUACACGCGAUCAAACAGUCAAUCAUCAAACAGUUCUCCUCGCUCCACGUUGGCUCGAACAGGCAGUCUAGAUAAAAUGGAUAGGAAUAUUUAAACUCCUUUUCGCAGGGAACCAAAACCCUAGCCGACAGAAGAGUGACCGAAGAAGAAGAAGAAGGGUGGCUGAGGAAAGAACCAGAUGCUGG
rnacentral:lncRNA from 1 species